AACACACACUAAAUUGAAAAACAGAAUUGAACCCAUUUCAACCUAGCUCACUCUCAACCUAGCUCCUGAUCCCUAAUCUCGCCGUCGUGCUCUCAACCUCACGCCUCCCUCAUCAAUCAAACAAAAAUAGGUCUGAAAUCACUGCCUGAUGAGAUGCGCGAUCUCUCGUCUUUACAAAUACUGGAGAUUAGGCGUUGUCCCGAGUUACAGAGAAGAUGCGAAAAGGAAACCGGUCAGGAUUGGGACAAGAUCGCACAUAUCACUGAGGUUUAUAUAGUGGGUGAACCUAUGGAGAGGCAAUAUGCCCCGCCUGAAUACUUUUAGGAUUUUGGAUGGUGGAGUACGAAAGAUGCAGAACAAAUUGGAAGCACAAAACAAGACUAGGCGUAAAUAUCUGAGCCUAUUCAAAACCUUUAUAAAGAACAUUUUUUCUUUAUUAUGAUCUUAUUUUCUACCAUAGGUUAAUGGUCUACAGCUUAACAUCAAAUUUUUUCCUGUGGCUGGAAGCAUACACAGUUUUAGUGGAAUUUCUUUGUACAUUGUGUUAUGUUCCCAUUGCUUGCUGUUACAAACUUGGGAAAAAUAUUUUUUUGGCCA